UAAGUUGGUAGUGAAAGCGUGCGGCUCAACCGCAUACACAUUAUCAAAACUGCAAAGCUAGAGGAUGAGAGAGGUUAUUGGAAUUCCUAGUGUAGGAGUGAAAUCCGUAGAUAUUAGGAGGAACACCGAUGGCGUAGGCAGAUAACUGGCUCAUUCCUGACACUAAGGCACGAAAGCGUGGUAGCAAACGGGAUUAGAUACCCCGGUAGUCCACGCCGUAAACGAUGGAUGCUA
rnacentral:rRNA from 1 species